rnacentral:lncRNA from 1 species
AUGUGCUGGGAGGAAAAGCAGCUGAAAAUCUCCAGGCUGGAUCACAGCACCCCACCCCUCCUCAUCCUCUCUCCAGAUGUUGCACGGACGUGUGCGAGCAGCGCUGCCUCGCUGGGAGGUGCUGAGAAGAGGGUGAUGCGCCGGGGUGACAUGCUCAAUUUCCCUCCAAGAUGGUGCAGCCACGAGAACAUUUCUCCUGCUGAUGGCGUCCAUGUGUCUCUCCCUUCUCACUGGAGCUCUGUUACACGCCAGGACGUGGUGCGAGCGUGUGUGCACCUUCUGUUCCCCGAGCCGUCCCUGCCUUUCUGGGGAGGACGAGGUGCCUGCCCUUCCGUGGUUAGUUUAAGAAAAACACUCUGCCAGUGAUCAGCGCCUGUAUGAAGUAGAUGUAUGGUUUCAAUUCUGUCCUUGAGCCAUGGAUCAUUUAAUGUUGUCAACACAUAUACAUCCUUCUCAAACAUCCCACUGAGAAUUUCUAGGGACUGUAGACAGCUUAAAGCUAGCGUUACAGCAGCAGCUUCAUAUUUGCUUUCAGAUCUACGUGCAUUUUUUAAUACUAAAGCUUGCAUAAUUGCUGCUGAAUUUCUAAGCAACUUCUUCAAAGGGACGGAGGCGCGGCAGCGGCAGGAGCGCUGGCAGAGCAGGGACAGGGCUGGGGCCUGUUGGUGGCUCGUGGCUGGCAGCAGGAGGAGCUGAGCACGUUGGGGGAGCCCCAAAGAAAGGCCAGGUCAGGACCCCCCACCUCGGUUGAGCGUGUUAUCGUCCUGACCAUGGGUGGCUGGGAUUUAGUGCUGCCUACGUGCGUUAACAGCAUUUUAGCUGUGCACGUUAUCUCACCAGGGAAGUUUUAACAGUGGGAAUAGGGCACCACUGGGCUUGUUUUCCAGGAUCUGGAUGUGCCCAGAAGCACAGCGAGAUGCCACAUGCAGCGGAGGUGACCUGGCGGGUGAAGGGUUACUGGCUGCUGCCCACUGUAGGGCUGAUGGGUUAUAAAAAGGGAGAUGAAGUGGUUCCUCAGAGGGGUCUCUGAUCUUUUCCUGAUGGU